UCACUUAGGUUUAUAGAGCUAUGGAGACUUAUAAUUGGCUCAUAAAUUCUUUUCCCUAAGCCAUUGUUAAGACUGUUAUUGCUAAGAAAUUAUUUGGCUUUUCUGUUUCAGGCCUUUUCCACUAGGGUCCUGUAAUUUUUGGUUGCCUUUUUACCUUACAUAAUGAGAGUUUAUUUUCUACAGAAUAUCUUCCAUUUUCCUAUUAAAAUAUUUCCUUUUUUUUUUUUUUUUUGCAUAAACAUUUGAGUGGGAGCUCUGGAAGAGACAUCAAUACCAUUGCCUUUUUUAUGCAAAAGGAAAAAUCAGUCUAGGAAGAGGUUCAAUUACUUAUUUUGGUUUGUUUUACAGUAGUGAUGAGAGGGAUACUCUGGCAGAUGUGACCUUGGAGGCCAAUGUUCUGGGCACCCUGCAGUCCCAGAGGAGCAGAGGAAAAGAACCAAGCAUGAGAGAACAGGCUGUCCUUUGGGCUUUGGGCUGUCUCAGGUCACAGGCUGCCCUAUGCCUGCAAUGUGCUGUGCACACUAAAUAUCCCCAUCUCAUACUGCAGGGUGUGUCCAUCAGCUCAGGGCAUGGUCACAGCAUUGCUGUUGGAUAGUCCAUAUGUGGGAAGAGAUCAGAAGCUUGGAGAGUGAUGAACAAGAAAGAAGAAGUCAAGGUAAACACCUCACUGCCUUUUGAAGUGCGUAAGGUGAGGACUUUAUCAAGAUCAUCACCAUUACACCUGAGUACAAAAUAUGGCAGCACCUCGGUGUUUUCAGCUCCCAUUAGCUGAACUUGUGAUGGUAGCUGACUGUGUAAAGGGUCUUGAAAGGCUUUUAUGAAGUAUUUGGAACUGGAAACUUUGGCAUGGUCUCCUUCUGAUAUGGACAUGGUCAUGAAGCUUCAUAACCUGCCUUAUUUCAAGCUUUGUUUAAUACACUCAUAAUUACAUUAAAUGGGCUGAAGUUGAGGAUAUGAAGAUCUGCCCACAAUGCAUGAUCCUGGCUGGCAGCCUGAUUUAUUUUCAUUUCAAAUUUUCCUUGGUUUCAUUGCAUUUUCAAUAUGGAGAAAAGGUAUUUCUGUAUUUUAUUGUGGUUUUUUUUUUUUAAUAGUUUUUGUUCUAAUUGUGUAAGAGGAAGUUUUAUGAUGCAGACAUGCUUUAUUACUAUCUCUAUAACAGGAGUCCAGAACUAUUAAUCAGAAUUCUCCAAACAAUGGUAGUUGUAGUGAGCAAAGGGUAGAAAAUGGGGAAAGGAACAGAGAGCCACAGCUGCCUCUCUGCUUCAGAGAGCAGGCAACUGUCCCAAAUACAAAGAUCAAACAAAAAUCUUCACAUUCACUGCUAUUUGAUAUAGGCUAAAUUCACUUUAGGCUUAGAUACCCAUCAGAUUGCAUCAGCUUUUUCAUCUGUGCUGCAACAGGAAACUUUGAUUUUAUUUCCAAGGGAUGUGAGUUUGGGUUCCUUCUAAAUUAUGCUGAGUAUUAGGGCGAGUGAAAUCUGUGACUGAACUCGUCCAUCCUCCUCCAUUCAAUUUCAUGCCUCCAAUUUCUCUGUGUCUAAUGAAAGGGAUGUUUACUACCAGGCAUCUCACUUGAACAGAUUUGGCAAGCUGCUGAGAAAUGUAAGUUGCAAAACAUUUGAUAUUAAUGAUUUUUUCUCCAUCAAAAAGAUCUUAUGUCAAAAGUGAAGACAAGUCUCUGCUUUUGCUCUUCCUAAUUACGGGAUGUUAGACAUUAAACAUUGAACUGGAAAUUCAAUUACAUGAUUAUUAAUCAGAUGCAUUUUUUUCAACUUGGGGGAAAAUAGGCUAAGUGAAACAUGAAAGUCCACUGGGAAACACAACCAAUUAAAGCAAUUAAAAAAGGACAUGGAAUUCUUAAUUUUUACACUUGGCUAGAAAGUUGAUUGACUGGUCUUGACUCUCCUGGGAGUGGGUGUGCUGGGUAGGUUUUUUAUUUGCUUCUUGAUAUCACAUGCUUCUGUUUCCUUAUGAAGAACAAUUAAUUUUCUUUGCAGGAAAAUUUACUUAUUGUGACAUGGGUAGCUGAUCAUGUUUCAAAUGUUGGAUCAGGUUAAGUGAUGCCUGUCAUUUAACAUUUCCACUCACGGGGAGAAGCACAUAUUCCCUCCACUCUUAUUCUGCAGACAGACUUUCUGACAGCUGAAGUGUAGCCAGUAAAUUUCUUUUCCAUUAGUUGCAAAUUGUACAACAAUAUACUAAAGUAAUUACAUCAUAAAUCUUCUUGCCUUGAAGUUAGGCUCUGCGGUACACACUCAUAAAAUAGUGCAGUAGCAAAUAAAAUCACUGCAUCUGUGUAUAUUUGUCUUGCA
ensembl:lncRNA